rnacentral:lncRNA from 1 species
AUGCGGUCAGGACGGAGCCAGUGCUAUCGGCAACAGGGAGGACCAGACCAGUUGCACCUUGUUAAGGUUGCCCUAGACCAUGCUAGUGUCUGCUGGUUUGCCAUGGCAGCCCCCCGGCGGAAGGCUAUUUCCAGGAAAAAUGCAGGGACCCAGACUGAGGUCCCAUGCACAGAUAAAAGGAUGGCCGCUGCCAAGAAAAAUGAGGAGACCCAGAUGGAGGUCCCACAACAACAUGUUAGUACUCAGGUUUUUGGCUGCAGUGAGUGCUUGAGCUUGGCCCUUGCAGUGCAGGGCGAUGGAGAAAGCGUGUGCGUCAGAUGCGACCAGCUAAAUGAUUUCCUUAGCCUGGUGGCUGAUCUGAAGGAAGAAGUGAAGAGGCUGAGGAGUACUAGGGAGUGCGAGCAGGAGACUGAUCAGUGGUGCCAGUCCCUACCAUCCCUGAGAUGGAGGCAGCCAGCUGCAGCCCUGCACGAAGCAUGUCACCCCCUACCGCCUUGCAAACAGGUAACAGGGGGGAACCAGCAGGCAGGCAGUGUUCCUGCUGCAGUGAUCCCCAUGUCCUCUCCCCCACCUAACAACGGUGAUGAACUGGGGGGCAGGGAGCAAUGGCAAAAGGUCUCUGCUCAGCGGUGCAGGUACACCCACCCGGUGAUUCCCCUCCCUCCUCAGCUGCCCCUGCAGAACAGGUACAGUGCUCUGUGGAAACAGCUGGACAGUGGUGGAGAUGAUGGUUCUCCCCACUUGGAGGUGUCUCCAAAGCCCAGCACGACUACCCCUAACAUUAAAACAUCCUCAGCAAAGAACAAAAGAUGGGUCAUUGUUGUUGGUGACUCAGUGCUGAAGGGAGCAGAAGGCCCAGUAUGUAGACCUGACCCUCUACACAGGGAAGUCUGCUGCCUCCCAGGAGCCCAGGUUAAAGAUGUAAGGAAGAAACUUCCUUCCCUAGUACAGUCCUCAGAUUAUUAUCCUCUGUUGUUGUUUCAGGUAGGCAGUGAUGAAAUAGAAAGAACUUCUCUUAGAACCAUGAAAAAGGACUUCAGAGACUUAGGGUGA